CUCCAAUAGUCAUAGGUAGAGGUGGUCAUGGAAGAGGACGUCAUUCUGGAGGACGUGGUGGUCGAGGUAAUGGUGGUCACCAAAACGGCUAGGGUGAAGGGAAAAUUGGAUUCACUACAGCACAACAUGGUAAGGGCAACAGGCAGACAGGUGAUAGGGCCCAUUGUUACGCUUUCCCCGGGCGGUCUGAGGCAGAGAAAUCUGAUGCUGUUAUCACAUGUAAUCUUUUGGUUUGCGAUUGCAUGGC
rnacentral:misc_RNA from 1 species